AUUGCUUCUCGGCCUUUUGGCUAAGAUCAAGUGUAGUAUCUGUUCUUAUCAGUUUAAUAUCUGAUACGCCCCCUAUCUGGGGGCCAUAUAUUAAAUUGAUUUUUAGAACAGGGACAUGGAAGAAGAGCUUGCUCUGUCCACUCCACGCAUUGACCUGGUAUUGCAGUACCUCCAGGACAGGUGCAAAAUAA
rnacentral:snRNA from 1 species